rnacentral:rRNA from 1 species
CAGCAGCCACGGUAAUGCGAAGGGGGCUAGCGUUGCUCGGAAUGACUGGGCGUAAAGGGCGCGUAGGCGGCGAUCAAAGUCAGGCGUGAAAUUCCUGGGCUCAACCUGGGGGCUGCGCUUGAUACUUGGUUGCUUGAGUGGGGAAGAGGGUCGUGGAAUUCCCAGUGUAGAGGUGAAAUUCGUAGAUAUUGGGAAGAACACCGGUGGCGAAGGCGGCGACCUGGUCCUUGACUGACGCUGAGGCGCGAAAGCGUGGGGAGCAAACAGGAUUAGAUACCCCGGUAGUCCCUGUCUCUUAUAC